GGGGGUGCCCGCAGCCUCUCGCCCCUAUUCACUUCAAUCCGCGGUUGAUGCCCUCAGAGCGCCUCCAUCGCCUCACCGCUGCCAAGGGGCAGUACCAAGGAGCGGCGGAGCCCGCACAGGCGCUGGAGUGCGGCCCAGCUAACGACUCGUGCUGUUAAUUACGGGAAGUUUCGGCCGUGCAGUGAGGAAGGAUGCCAGGACAAGCAGCUGCAAGAUGCCCUCCGGCCUCGCAGCGCUGUGGCAACCAUGUCACCCCUCUCGGCAAAGCCCACUCUCGUGCCCUGAGCUAUUUUCUUGCCUAUUGUACACAGUCCUCUUUGUGUGCCUCAGAAGUUUCUUCCAUCACUGUGUUCCAGGUUUUGCACUGGCAGCUCAAUGCUCAAGCUGUAGGCAUUGAAACAUGUGGCUUGAAGGCAAGGAAAUCUCUUCUUGGGUCUAGAAAAAUCUGAGUGCAUUUGGAAAGUUCUGGAAAUGACUGGAUCUGGAAGGAGUCAAUCUGGAAAAGCCUGAGUGCACCAAUUACCUCAGUGACUAAGACCAAGGUAAAGCAAGACCCUCGAGACCUAUGCUAGUAUCACCAUCAUUGAGCUGUUUUCCUCAGAAUACUUUCUUUCUGCCCCACAACAUCGAAGUUUUCUUCCAGAUGGCUUCUUCUAUGUUACGUUACGCAUUCAGUAGCAUGAGGAGCAUGCUGUAUGUUAACUUUCCACAAAACUUGCACUAAGUAUGUCUUCCUGUAAGUCUAUCUCACAGUAGAAAUAAAUGGCCUAGUGGCAAAGACUUAAACAUUCAAAUUAAACGUCUGCAAUUAAUUCAAGCUUUUUCCUGAGCAGACUUUGCUUAAAUAGUUCUUAAAACUCUUUACUCUGAUUUCUCUCCUUGAAUGAAGCCUCAAGGAAAGACGUGAAGCAGUAUUCCCUUCCUUAGGUUAAGGGUUUGACUUUUUUUCUCCUUGGCUUUGGUUUCUUUGUGUGUUUGUUUGUUUUGUUUUUAAUAAUUCUAUCUUGCUGGUGUGAGGUAGCACAUAAGUCUAGUGAAUCUUAGCCAAAGUCUUGUGCUCACACAGUAGGCCUAACUCUGAGGAUUUCUCUAAUAAAAUCCAGUAUGACUCAGUCCGAAUGAAUCAUUCACAAUCUCUCUUUCUCUAUUUGCAGAAUAUUCACAGCAGAUCAUGAUUUCCUCAAAUAUAUUGCUGUUCUUCAGGUUAUUUUAUAAAUUUGUCUGACGAUUGUCAAUGUGUCUUCUUUGCUAUUGUUUUUUAACAUAUCCUACAUAUUUGUAAUUUAAACUGGGCCUUUUAUCUGUGAUUGCUGAGUAGGUCACCAAGCACGAUAUUGUUUCCUGUCCCUUAGAACAUAAGAUUUUUAAAUACUUUCACGUGUGUGUUUAAAAUUCAUUGUCUAUCAGUUUUUCUGCCGGUGCAAAUCCAAACUGAUCAUUUAAAUAGUUCAAGGAAAAGCGAGCAUAAAGCAGCACACAUAAGUAUGGAUUCAUUUAAAAACCCAUACCAAUGGCAGUGUAUUUUCAUGGCUUUCCCAUCUCAGACUAUGACACUGUCCCCCACUGAGUGCAUUGCAUCUACGUGGAAUUCACAAAGCUGGGGAGCUAUGGCUGUGAUUCUAACUUAUGGCUGAUGAUAGCAUUUACACAUACAUUACUGUUAAAAUUGAACAUUUGAAAAUGCUUUACCAAGGCUAUGGUUUAGAAAUGCAUCUGAAAUAACUGAAGAGAUAGAACCAUCGAUCCUGAUUACAAACAGAGGGUUAAUUCUUCUGUUGAUGUAAAUCAGCAUAGCUGAUAGAUUUGUGCUGAUUUACGUUGGUAAAGCCCAGAAAAUAGAGGAGAUAUAUGACAAACAAAGGGUGCUAUAUUUAUUUCAUAAGUGAGAAAUACUUCAUAACUCAGGCACACCACUGGCAUGAAUAAGUUAUGAAAAAUCUUCACAGCCAAAAGAACAUAAUCAUCCUUCAUGUAUAACAGAUUUGUUUAUUCUGUAAAGAUUCAUUUCAGUUGAUUAAUUAUCAGUAUCUGCUGAUGGUGGAGGUAACAAGCCAUCUCUGAUGAGAGAAUCAUUUUAGGACAUGCUCAGAAUAUUUUAUCACCUCACACAACUUGUAUAUGCCUAGAAUAUUUAUCAUACUGUGUACUAAUACUAUCCCAUUUUUUAAAGCUAAGUACUGAAUGUAAAUUAUAUUAUAGAUACAGGAGCUGCCUAUGUUUUUCCUGGUGGUUAUUUUUUUUUCUCCAUAAGGGGAAUUUAAAAGAAAUAGAUUAAAACACGGUAACAGCAUGUCAACUGCUGAACUGCACUGCUUCAUUAAAUCAUUGUUAUUCUGAACCAGUAAAAACAUUUGCAUAAGUGCAAAUGCCACCUUCUAACAAUACUAUCAGAAUCGUUUAAUCUUACACCAAAUCCAAAUCUGUACCAGCCACAGUGCGUGCUCGGUGGCCAAUAUUCACAGAUGGAGGUUUGUCAAAAUUAGCUUCCUUUUCUUGUAACUUUAAUAAUUAAAGUUGUAACACCAAGUUAAAAUAAAAAUUAGAGAUUAGAUUUUCUCCAUUCUGAAACAUUUAUAAAGAGAAGAAAAUGAUAAUAAAUCUGUCAAUCACUGCAAAGCAGAGAGCAAAAGUAGAUCAGAUUUUCAACGCAAUGUAUUAAUUUGCUAUUUAUAAAGUUACCCUAAUCACCACAAUAUCUAUAAUUUAAAGCAUUGAUAUAUUAUCCAUAAAAAUAUAGGUUAAACAUCUAUUAAUAAAUUGCUUCACCAAAAUUUUUAUCAUAUUUGAAUAGCCACGCUACUUUUAAUCAGACUUUAAUCACAGAAUAGACUGAUUCAUUUUACAGAACGUGUCCAUCUAUGAAAUAUACAUAUAUUGAUAUCUGCACACACUGCACAUUUCAUGCAAGAGAACAGCUGGGUUUUAGUUGACCAAGAAUCCACAGAAAGCAGUAGAACAUCUGCAAAGUUUUGUACAAAGCACCAAGUUUCUCUUAGCUAUAACAAACUGAAAAUAUAAACAUUUGGUCGUCUUAAAAUUGAAUAUAUUCUUUCACUUUCCAGCCAAAAGACGUUUAAAAAAAAUUAUUUUCCACGGAUAUGCAACACUUAUUAAUUAUUAGUACACGUUUCCAGAGUACCCAUGAGCCUCACCUCAAGAAAGGUGUUCUAGCUCAAAGUUCAUUAAAGCCAGCUAUAGCUUUUCCACAAGUUUCAGUGCUUUACACAGAGUCACCUACCUAGGUAUUUACAGCUGUCCAUUAUCAGUGUAUCCCAGCUUUUGGUAUUUGUUUUGUUAAAAUGGGCUGGAUAAAGAAUGUUCAAAAGGUUCUUAAUUACUUAGAGAACUGGAAACAUAGAUAGCAAGUAUGUUUACCUAGGGAUGAUGAUAACUUCUAAUUAUUUUGGGCACUUGUUUUUAAUUUGAUUACCAAAGAAAAGCAGUUUAUUUGAUCACGUUUCUUUUGUAUAUAUCUGGUCAGAAGUCAGCUUUUAGCCAGUUUCAACCAGAGAGAAAAGCAGCAGUCUCAGAGGUAUUAAAUUCCUCCAGAUUUUGUAAAAAGCAGCAGUCUGAUAAAGAAUAAAAAUGCCUUAUUUCUUCCACUGAAGAAUAGACUACAUUGUAAGUUCAUCGCUUAAUAGACUCGAAAGAAUCCAUAUCCAAGAAGAGACUACAAAAGUAUAACCACAGGGGAAUACGUCAGUUCAGAUACCGAUCUCUUUAAACUCCAGAAGAAUCCACAGGAAAUCAGUCGGUCUUGGUUGCUCUGCUUUCCUGACGGAUUGUUUCUUUUUUUAGCGUUGUUUGUUGUUGUUUUCAGUGUGGUUAGAAUAGGCCUUGGAGAGGUGGGAAGAAACCAUCUGGGUCUAUGAUUUCAUGCCUCAGAAGCAGGCAUGGCAUUUCAGGAUGAAUUGUAUGGUAAGUGGCAACUCAGUAAAAAUGUGUCAUGCAGCUUUUGUGCUCAGUGUCUCAGAGCUUUCCCAGAUGGAUAUUCGAGAUAUUUGAGACUUUCCGCUGAGAUCUUGAAAGUUGUACUGCAACAGAAGUUGUUUGUGUUUAGCCCACUACUUCUGCUGGUAACAAAAUUCAAACAAUAAAUAGAGAAAAUUCAUUUAUAUGAUUACUGAAAUCAACAGAAGUUCCAUUUGAGAAUAUGAUUUUCCCCGUAUUAGACUUUAUGGAUGGAUAGCUCUCUUCUCCUUCUCCACUACUUCUACUAUAGCAGGGCUAAUCAGUAACAGGGAGAGAGAGAAAAACCUGCAAAAGUAAAGAAACCAUUCACCUCUGGUGUAGUGAAGAAAACAACUUUCUUGUAUACUGCUUUGCUUGUUCAUAUUAACACAGAGUGACUCAAAGUGUGCAUCACUGAGCCGUUCAUGGCUUGGUGACAGAAUCCGUUAAUUUAGCCUUCUGUAGGACUACUGGUGAUGUAGUCAUAACAUGCGCUCAAGUGCUGUGUACCUGCUUCUUGACAUACUGCCCUGUCAGCAUAGAACAUGUAAAGUCACCAUGAGCCUCAUUACUGGAUUUAGCCAGUUAAUGCAAAAAGGUGGAGUAUACUGAUUGAGGGAAUACGUGCAACUUUUUUUAUACUGGGAUUUGAAAGCAAUACUUUUCUUAAAUUCCCAGCCACAAUUCAGAUGGUAGGAUAAUAACCAGCACCGAAGAGCUACAGGGUAGUUGUUCUUCCAUAAGUGCGUGGUGUUUUCUUUGGUCAUGGAUCCACUCAUCUCCAUUUGCAACUUUGAGACUGCACUUGGUGAGGUUCCCAUAGAAGCUGAACCUGAAGAACAUUUGGUGUCUACUUAGUAGUACGGCUUGUGGCAGGAAUUAUAUAUUUACAAGACUCCUGAGGAAGCUUGCUAGCACGGCUAUAUUGUUCAGAAAUUCAUAUGAAAUAGCACUUUGCUGAUGGAUCUCUUACAGUGAAUGAGUCACAUCUGCCAGACUUCCUUGGCUUUGGAAGCUGCAAAAUGACAAUUGUAUGCAACGCUUAUCUUCCAUCCCGUCAGGCUUGGGUUGGUUCCUGGGUAUAUAGUGGAGAUUCUGGUCUCGGUUUAUUUGCCCUUAAAAGCUAGGCAAAGCAACAGCUUUCUCUCUGUUCUUUUGUUGUACUUGAUAUCAAGUAGGAGUUAUAUCCUGCCAAAAGUUAGGCAUGGGCAGAAAUAGCCUUCAGUUCCAGAGUGAAAGGCCUAAGUCUGCUGACCUGCAGCACUUGCUGCACAGCACGUUGUUCUGGGGUUUUGAACAAGAACCAAGAGGAGGAGUUCAGAUUGCUUUUUUGUGGGAUUGCAUCUCACUUUAAGUUAAACUGCAUAAGGCAUUAGAGGGGAAUUUUAAAAGUUUAACUAAUUAGAUCUUUUGAGAGACUUAUUAGUCCAAGUCAGAGAAUUCUCUGAAGCAGAAAGAAUAUAUUCCAUGAGUGAUUAUGUAGAAACAAACUGUGCCUGAGCAUUUAACAUACCACUCUGUAUUUCAGGGAGAAAUUUUAGGUACUUAGAUCAAGUAUCACAACAGAUGCUCUUUCAGUUUCCCUUCAGGCAGAUCAUCUGCAGUCUACUUACCUCAGAGCCACUGACUUCAAAUGCUCAUGUAAAUCAUUAACUUGAACCAUUUAUUCUGACUACAGCUACAUGGUCUAAAGUUGAUGUUUGGAGUCUGUUAAUCAUUACUUGUCAUCUGCUUGCUAUGUAUCAGAAGGUGAUGCCAGACUCUCUUGCUAGUUUUGCAGAGCUCAGCACCUCUGCCUCUUUACGUAACUAACUUGCAUUCAGCUUCUCUUAAACUCCCUGAAAUGCUUCAUCACAUCUAUUUUCUAACCUUUCUAUUGCUACCCAAAGAGACAUCCUAAAUUCCCUCAGUCAGAUCCAUGAAAAGAUGGUGAAGCAGUUGGGAAUUUAUUCCCAAAACUGUAUGGGGAGCACCAUAGAAGCUUCCCUGUACAGCUCUGCAGGCAUUCCAGGCAAUGUCGUCGCUCAUGUCCUCACCUGACCCAUUCCUGUGAGAGCUGAGGAGCUUAGUUCAUAGCUCAGCCAAGGUUUUAAGGCCAGAAACUGACAUUCCUUUGCCCCAGAGGACUUGAUCUAUGAGGGACUAAGGACUGACCAGAUUCUCAGUUUGCAGCAGGGUGCGUAACAGCCAAUGAAAUGUUCAGAAAUACUCAAAGAAGGAAGUCGUGCUGCUCCCAGCUGCUUGGUGCCUCCUGACUGUCAUUAUGUCUGUCACAUUUUGUUGUACAGCAAAUGAUUUGAGGUCCUUGGACACAUUAAAAUGUUACAGUUCUUGAAGAGUCCUUGUGCUUGUAUCUUCAGAUGUUUGGGUUUUUUUGCCCCAGUAAUACACAGGUCCAUACUGGCCUUUCACCUACUACCCUCUGAUACUGUGUUGUUUCAGUCUCUUAUCAUCCAGUCUUCCUUCUUUUCAUCUCUUGACCUUUCCCAAACUGUUCUCUGUCCUCUGCUACUCAUAAAACUGCUUCUCUUAUUGAUUGCCUUUUUGUCUUUGGUCUGUAUUUCAUUCCCUCUGCCACUAAAAUCAUCCCUUGCUCUGUCUUAUUUCUAAUCCUAGUAUUUGCAGCUUCAUCCCUCUUCAGUUGUUCUGGUUUACUUCUUAGCAUAGUAACUGAAGUCUUUUGAGAAGUCCCUUUACAUUUUUUCAAUGACUCCUACUCCUUGGUCCUGUGCUCUUAGCUCAAACUGUGUUACUAUUUCCUAACACAGACUUGUUUCUCCUGUGCUCAGAUGGAGCCAUUUUGUCCUCUUUUGUGCACUGGAAGCAGAAGAUUUUAGUCUGGAUUUUAAGUGCUGUGUUAGCCAACAGUAGCAAAGAGUUUCCAUUCCAUGGAAAUGCAGACAGCCUACAGCCCUCAGCUGCUGGCUUCGUUUAGUGCUAAUAUUUGAAGAAUUCAGGUACCAACCCUGAGCAAACCAUUACUAAGAAUUUACAGAUUUCAAAUUUUCCUAAGUUUUCAUCUUGUCUAUGUUAUUUUAGUGGUAAAAAAAAAAAAAAAAGCACAUUCCUAA